UUGUUUCCAGGGGACUUUUCUGAAGAGGAAGAAGAGGAGGAGGAAGAGGAGGAAGAAGAGGAGGAAGAAGAGGAGGAAGAGGAGGAGGAAGUGGAGGAGCCCAUGUUGGACUUGGAGAGGCAACUGAUGCGCUAUCGUCUGGAGGCAGUGAUAUUGCUGUGGGAGCCACACGAUGAGGAGGAAGAGGAGGAGGAGGAGGAUGACAAGGAUUCUGGGUACGACUCCAUGUCUGAUGGCGGAUGGAUGGACUGGGUGGCAGAGGAGGAAGAAGAGCAACAUGAAGAUGGCCCUUUCCUGCAGUUUGUACUACUGCAACCCCCCCCACUUCCUGAAGAAGCGCCGCUCCCAGUCCCCCAGAUGUCAGGAUUGUCCACCAAGAGGAGCAGGCAAGAGGACGACACCGGUCCCCACCCCUUCUCCACUAAGAGGACCAGGGAAGAGGACUACAGGGAGUCAGCACCCUCCACUUCAGGCCUCGCCCCACCCACACACAGAAGAUACUGGCAGCAGGCGGAAGGCAGCGACUCGGAUUGAUGUCCUGAAGGAGCACCAACCUCACUCUUUCAGAUGUCAGGAGUGUCCUCAAACCAGGAAAGAGGACUAAGAGGACAGGUAAGUGUGAAAAGGUUGAUGGACGGUGACGAGACACAGUAUCUUGAAGUGUAGGCCCCUCGUCCAUUAAGAAGACCAGGGAAGAGGACUAGAAGAUACUGGCAGUCGGCUGAAAACAGAAACUUGGAUUAACAGCGACAUUCUGCUUGCUGCAGGAUGUCAAACCGCCUUUCCUCGUGUUUCGCGAGGUCGGUAAAGGUAGCAUCUUGCAGCAGAGUUUGGACAUGUCUCGUCUUUAUGGAUUGAUCAAUUUGCGAACCAGUGCAAUCUCCCCCACUCCCUUCUCCUGUGGAAUGUCCUGACCAAGCGCCAACCCUAGUCUUCCAGAUGUCAGGAGUUUCCUCCAAGCAGGCAAAAGGACGACAUGGGGCAGGUAAGUGUGAAAAGACAGAGGGACCGUGUCGAGGACCAUGUGGACACAGUCCCUUUCACUUCAGGUAUGGGCCCCUCCUCCACUAAGAGGAUCAGGGAAGAGGACUACACUGAGUCAGCACCCGAAAAUUGAUGCCUCUGCCCCUUCUUAAUGAAGAGCCGAGCAGGUGGUUUUCCCCCCUCCAUUUCAGGCCUCAGCCCCCCCCACACGGAUCCUGGCAGUGGGCUGAAAGCAGCGACUUGGAUUGAGAGCGACAGCCCUCUUGCUGCACAAAAUCAAACCUUGUGACUUGCUACAGGAUGUGAAACCUUUGUGUCUGGUGAGGACUGAUAAAGCCCCAGACAGCCUUUCCUCUUGAUUAGCGAGGUUGGCUAAACGUAGGAUCUUGUUGUUAUUGUUACAUAUCUCUUCUUUAUGGUUUUAAUUUGGAUUAAUAGUUGAUGCUAUUUACAGAGGCCAGAGGUAAGUACAGGGGAUAGUUGUUAUUCUGUGUUGUAUUUUUCUUCAUGAUGUUUUUACCAGACCAAGGUAAGUCUAUGCUUAUUAAUAACAUGCAUACCAAACAUGAAGUCUCUAUAUACUUUGUAACAUUAAGGUGAAGGUGACUGAACCAGACAAUGUUUAUGUAAUAUUCCCAACAUUAAGAAAAGGUUUUCAAGUUUCUUUUACAGUAAUCCAGGAUCUCCUUGACAACGGAAAAGAUGAGCCUACUACAGGACCAGAUGAGAAGAAUGGAGGACAGGACGAGAUGAGAAGGACGGAGGACUACAGGACGAGAUGAGAAGGACGGAGGACUACAGGACCAGAUGAGAAGGACGGAGGACUACAGGACCAGAUGAGAAGGACGGAGGACUACAGGACCAGAUGAGAAGGAUGGACGACUACAGGACCAGAUGAGAAGGAUGGACGACUAAAGAGCGGCUGGCGCCUUUCUUUUAUUGGGCCAAGGAGAGACUCCUCCAGGCUUUGGUCUCACUCCUGGGACAGCGAAGAGUAGAAGUCAACCAACCCGUCAUCCCAGGUGGACCCAGACCCCCCCACAGACCCCUGAAUCCCUCUCAGCACACCAGUGAGUCCCAGACCCGCCACCCCAAGACCGCCCGCCCCAGCCACCCGGAGAGAGGACGUCAGCAGCUGUCAGCCAAGAAUUCAUAUUCCCAAAAAAUGAUCAUUCACAACUUAAACUUAAAUAAAAUGUCAUGUUUAUUAUGAUU